AAUUAUGUGGUCCUUCUUCAACCAUGGUUGGUUUUUCUUCUGGUUUAGUAGGAGAGAAGAUAUCGGGAAUAUCGUACUUUUGUUGAUAUUCUUGUAUUCGGCGUCUUACAUAUAAGAAGUGCUCUAAUUCUUGGAUUGGUGAUGCUAAGUUAUCACCUUGUGAGCGAGUACUUGGCAUACAAUCAGGGAAAUAAGGGAGAGUAAAUUAGCUUUUAUUUUUACCUUAGUCUAUACCGUGCAACAAAAGAAUCGCACUAUUCGACUAAA
rnacentral:lncRNA from 1 species